AUGACCACCGAAGAGGAGGAGCAACUGGUUCAGGCGGUGAUGAAGGACUCCGAGAGGGAGUGCAACCGCUUGCCGGAGGAGCAGUGGGAGGGCCUCGAGGAGAUGCUGGCGCUCUCGGUGGCCGGCAAUGUCUACGUCCUCGAGCUCGACGUCAAGCAGGAGGUGAAGGAGGUGGUGGUGGAGGAUGAGCCUCCCCUAGCGGCCUGGAGCACCGCUUUGGAUUGCCACCAGCAGCAGCCUCAACCACCAUUCAUCUUGCUGGCACCUGCAGGGGAGGAGCUGGCUACGGCGCAUUGCCAUGUCUUCCGGCUUAGGUGCCACCAUUUCCUAACCAUGGCGCAAAAUGGGACUGCCGACAUCGAGGAAACGCCCGGCAACGGCAACGACCAGAGCCAAACCGCGAGUGCCCCUGAGCCUGACAAAGGGCUGGCCAAGACGAGCGGCGGAGUCAUGUUGGAGCUGCGCAUGUACCUCCUGCUGAUGGCCAUCCUGGCGGCCACAGUGACGUACGUCGCUGGGCUAAACCCGCCGGGAGGAGUCUGGCAGCUGAGCACCAAGGACGGCUACCGCGCCGGCAACCAGAUCCUCGUGGUGACGGACCACACCCGGUACAACGCCUUCUUCUACAGCAACGCCACCGCGUUCAUGGCGUCGGUCGUGGUCAUCCUCCUCCUCCUCCUCGUAGAGCGGAGCGUGGACGGGAGCACCAAGUGGCUCGUCACGCUAAGGGUGGUCAUGGUGCUGGACUUGCUCGCGCUCAUGGUGGCCUACGCCGCCGGGGCAAGCCGGGGAACGGUCACAACCGUCUUCGCCUCCGUUCUGGUAUCUGCCGUCUUCAUCUUCAACACCGCCGCUUUUCAUUGCGUCCCUGGUUGCAGUCAUGCGCCUGACGACCAUCAGGAGCGAGCUCGGGAUGGACACCUGGACCAGUGGCAGCAUGUCCCGUACGGGUUCGUCCUCGUCGCGCUGUUCAGCCUUUUCGGGGCCUACGCCGUCGGGAGCUGCAGGAGUACUACCUCCACCAUCUACCUCGGCGUGCUGGUUCUCCUUCUUGUCGUAUACAUCGCCAUCCUGUUCCUCAUCCACAAAUACUGGUGGGAUAAGCUGUCCAACCUUGCUGCCGGCUAUUUUCAUGCUGGACCUGGAUCAUUCAACCCAUCGGUUCAUGCUGGAGCUGGAUCCACAAAAGGACUAUCGGCAAAGGAACCCCAAGAGCCGCCAGAGAGCGAAGGCAUCAUUCAGCUAAGGAGGGCUCACUAUCUGGUGCUGCUACUUGCCACUGUUGCAGCGACCAUCACCUACCAGGCAGGGAUGAACCCGCCGGGCGGCUUCUGGCCUGACGACCGUGACGGGCACAAGGGCGGCGACCCAGUGCUGGUGACCACGCACCCCAGACGUUACAGGGCGUUCUUCUACUGCAACUCCGCCGCUCUGGUCGCCUCGGUGGUUGUCAUCAUUAUGGUCCAGAGCAAGCAUCUGACAUCGAGCGCCGUCCACAAGAGCCACGGGCUGGAGGCCGCCAUGAUACUGGACCUGCUUAGCCUCAUGGCUGCGUAUGCGGUCGGUUGUGCCCGGGACGUGAGCACCUCCCUCCACGUCGUCGCUCUGGCCGGCGCCGUCCUGGUCUACGUGGUCAUACACAUCGCCUUGUUCACGCUAGACCACAAGGGCGACAGCAGAGGCGACGACAAGGAGGAAGAGAAAAUGUUGAAGAGGCGCAAAGUACUGCUGCUGCUCGCCAUCUUGGCCGCCACCAUCACGUACCAAGCUGGGUUGACCCCCCCGGGAGGCUUCUGGGUCGACGAGGACGUGCCCGGUGGGCACACCGCAGGCUACCCAGUUCUCUCAACCGGCUACCCUCGCCGCUACGCCACCUUCUUCUACUGCAACGCGGCGAGCUUCAUGUCAUCCAUAGCCGUCAUCAUCCUCCUCGUCAACCCGAACCUGUACCGGCUGGGCAUAAGGUGCUACGCCCUCUACGUGUGCGCGGUGGCGGGCCUGUUCGGCCUCAUGGCCGCCUACGCAGCCGGAAGCUCUCGCCAUCUCCGGACAUCCAUCUUCAUGAUCUCACUGGUGGCUGUGGUAGUCACCUUCAUAAUCUUACUCCUUCUAGCAUUCCAUUUCAAAUUCAAUAAGGGUCUCGGGCUCGGCAGCGCUCACGAAACCAAGGAGACCCCGAAAGGGAAAGAGGGGAACAAGAAAAGAUACACCAAGCGCAAGUACUUGAUGCUUGUGGGCAUCCUGGUUGCGAGCGUCACCUACCAAGCCGGCCUUACCCCGCCGGGCGGCGUCUGGCCGGACGGCAGCGACGGGCACGCCGCCGGCAACCCGGUGCUGCGCGACAGCAACAAGCAGCGGUACCGCUUGUUUUUCUACAGCAACUCCGUUUCUUUCUUGGCGUCCAUCGUCGUCAUCCUCCUCCUGCUGUUGGACGAGACGUUGUUCGACCCGAAGCAGGAGUUGGAAUCGGACGAUCUGCAUCUGCUCUGGGUGGCCCAGUCCUCGAUUCUGCUGGCCCUGCUUGGCCUCCUGUGGGCGUACGCCUCCGGCUGCAGCCGGGAGUGGAAGACAUCGGGAUAUGUCGUCGCGCUCGCCGUCGCUGUGCUGCUCUACAUGGCCAUCCAUGUGGCGCUAUCAUGCCACGACAAGAAAGGCAAAAAAACACCUCAACAGGACGGCAAAUCACCUGGCAAGCAAUGCAGUUCCGAAGACGGUGAAGGAAAGCUAGAGCGGGUUCAAUCUGAGAUUAACACUGUGUAG
rnacentral:rRNA from 1 species